AGGCAUCUGGACCGUGGAAAACACUUCUUGUAUUCUCGCACUCUGCAUGCACAAGUGGGCUAUGGCUCCUGUACAUUGCCGCUCUCCGUGGAAUCUUGUGGCUUGCACCGUUGUGUAGAGAUCGUUGCAGUUAACAGAUGUCACAAACUGAUUUGUGCAUGGCUGCCUCCCAUGUGGUUCCAACGUACUUAUUCUGAGUUUAGAAAAACAAACAAGUAAUGUUACAUAGUUAUGGAGCUUGUCACCCCAGUUAUUUUAGAUGUACUUCCACUUUAGAUCAAGCAUUUCAAUUUAGGUUUAUCAAUGUUAAGAAAAAUAGAGGAUUGAUUAUGACGCUGGGGAUAACAAUAGGCCAUUGGAACCUUUCAUGUAGCUUACC
rnacentral:lncRNA from 1 species